UACGUAGAGUGCGAGCGUUAAUCGGAAUUACUGGGCGUAAAGCGUGCGCAGGCGGUUCGUUAAGACAGAUGUGAAAUCCCCGGGCUUAACCUGGGAACUGCAUUUGUGACUGGCGAGCUAGAGUAUGGCAGAGGGGGGUAGAAUUCCACGUGUAGCAGUGAAAUGCGUAGAGAUCCGGAGGAAGACCGGUGGCGAAGGCGGCCUGCUGGGCAGUUACUGACACUGAGGCGCGACAGCGUGGGGAGCAAACAGG
rnacentral:rRNA from 1 species